rnacentral:rRNA from 1 species
AUUGAACGCUUUCUUCAUGCCUUACACAUGCAAGUCGAACGGUAACGGGCCUUCGGGUGCCGACGAGUGGCGAACGGGUGCGUAAUACAUCGGAACGUGCCCGAUCGUGGGGGAUAACGAGGCGAAAGCUUUGCUAAUACCGCAUACGAUCUACGUAUGAAAGCAGGGGACCGCAAGGCCUUGCGCGGACGGAGCGGCCGAUGGCAGAUUAGGUAGUUGGUGGGAUAAAAGCUUACCAAGCCGACGAUCUGUAGCUGGUCUGAGAGGAUGAUCAGCCACACUGGGACUGAGACACGGCCCAGACUCCUACGGGAGGCAGCAGUGGGGAAUUUUGGACAAUGGGCGCAAGCCUGAUCCAGCCAUGCCGCGUGCAGGAUGAAGGCCUUCGGGUUGUAAACUGCUUUUGUACGGAACGAAAAGCCUUCUUUUAAUACAGGAGGGUCAUGACGGUACCGUAAGAAUAAGCACCGGCUAACUACGUG